ensembl:lncRNA
GACUGGCCAUGGGCCAGUGGCCGAGUGAAUGCUCAGGGCUCUAGCCCACCAAAGCAGCUGCCCUGAGGCAGUGGGGAUUCCACAGGACAAAGGCCAUCCCUCUCUGGCCUAACAGACCAUGAGGAGUCAUAAGUAGCUGAUAUCACAGAUUGGUCAAAUCUGGAGGGCUGCCUUCCUUGAAAUUUCCAUCUUGGGUCCUAGAGCUGGUGAAGAUGGGAUGGAGGUGGAAGUAUCAUUGGCUACUUCCAGGACAGAAGGAAAUUCAGAGCAAGUAAACCAACAGAAAGAGAUCAUGUGCUCUGGGGGGAGCUAGCUGCCACAUUGUGAGGAUGCUCAAGCAGCCCUGUGGUCCCUAUGGCAACUGAUGAAGGCCUCCUACUA